rnacentral:rRNA from 1 species
UGGGGAAUUUUGGACAAUAGGCGAAAGCCUGAUCCAGCAAUGCCGCGUGUGUGAAGAAGGCCUUCGGGUUGUAAAGCACUUUUGUCCGGAAAGAAAUCCUUGGCUCUAAUACAGUCGGGGGAUGACGGUACCGGAAGAAUAAGCACCGGCUAACUACGUGCCAGCAGCCGCGGUAAUACGUAGGGUGCAAGCGUUAAUCGGAAUUACUGGGCGUAAAGCGUGCGCAGGCGGUUUGCUAAGACCGAUGUGAAAUCCCCGGGCUCAACCUGGGAACUGCAUUGGUGACUGGCAGGCUAGAGUAUGGCAGAGGGGGGUAGAAUUCCACGUGUAGCAGUGAAAUGCGUAGAGAUGUGGAGGAAUACCGAUGGCGAAGGCAGCCCCCUGGGCCAAUACUGACGCUCAUGCACGAAAGCGUGGGGAGCAAACAGGAUUAGAUACCCUGGUAGUCCACGCCCUAAACGAUGUCAACUAGUUGUUGGGGAUUCAUUUCCUUAGUAACGUAGCUAACGCGUGAAGUUGACCGCCUGGGGGGUACGGUCGCAAGAUUAAAACUCAAAUGAAUUGACGGGGU